rnacentral:lncRNA from 1 species
GCUGCCAUUGCUUUACCAGCCUCUCGUGUGCCCUCUCUUUUUCAUGCAGUGUCUCUUCCGGGAGAAUAUUUCCGGGCACCAUCAUUCCUCCUGCCCUUCUGAAGUUCCCUCUAGGUGGUGGCCACUGACCAGCCAGGUGUUACCAUCCCUGCACACUUGAACCGCUGCAAAGCAAAAGAUUCUCAGCAGACAGAGGAGGCGCAUAUACUGCUCAGUGCUGUCCCCCUCCGGCCCCCGAUACCGCCCUGCAGUCCUUCCUAGCACUUCGGCUAUAUUCCGGCUACAUGCUUACCAGACAUGCCCACCAUGGCACAUCUCUAUUUUUUGGAUGCAGCCUACCUAUAAGCAGGAAAAUAUCUGUGUUUCAUAAACGAUGAAGCCAAACCUCCAAGAGGCCUUGUGGUCUUCAGAAAAUCUCACUUCUGGGAUUUGGACCUGGGUCAGUCAAGCUCAAAGUGGUCACUUUUCUCGUGGAUUCCCAGAACCCACUGUCUCUCUUCAGUCAGCUUCUCCUUCACUUCCCGAGUAUGGUUCUCCGGAGACAGGACCUAUAUUAGUCAGCCAGAGCUGCCAUCAGAAAGCACCACAGACUGGGGAGUCGAAACACCAGGAAUUCGUCUCUGCCCUGUUCUGUUCUGGAGGCAGGAAGUCCAGCAUCAAAGUCUCAGCAGAAAAUGAGGAGCUGAUCCUCAAGUUUGCAUGGCAUUUCAAGAGACCCAGGGGAACCAAAAUAAUCUGAAAAAGAAUGAAGUUGGAGGAUUGACAUUUCUUGAUUUCAAAACACACUAUGAAGCAAUAGUAAUCAAGAUAAUGUGGUGUUGGCUUAAAGGUGGA